rnacentral:rRNA from 1 species
GACGAACGCUGGCGGCGUGCUUAACACAUGCAAGUCGAACGGAAAGGCCCUGCUUUUGUGGGGUGCUCGAGUGGCGAACGGGUGAGUAACACGUGAGUAACCUGCCCUCGACUUUGGGAUAACUUCAGGAAACUGGGGCUAAUACCGGAUAGGAGCUCCUGCUUCAUGGUGGGGGUUGGAAAGUUUCGGCGGUUGGGGAUGGACUCGCGGCUUAUCAGCUUGUUGGUGGGGUAGUGGCUUACCAAGGCGUUGACGGGUAGCCGGCCUGAGAGGGUGACCGGCCACACUGGGACUGAGACACGGCCCAGACUCCUACGGGAGGCAGCAGUGGGGAAUAUUGCACAAUGGGCGGAAGCCUGAUGCAGCAACGCCGCGUGCGGGAUGACGGCCUUCGGGUUGUAAACCGCUUUCGCCAGGGACGAAGCGUGAGUGACGGUAAUGGGUAAAGAAGCACCGGCUAACUACGUG